CCUACGGGGGGCUGCAGUGGGGAAUUUUGGACAAUGGGCGCAAGCCUGAUCCAGCAAUGCCGCGUGCAGGAUGAAGGCCUUCGGGUUGUAAACUGCUUUUGUACGGAACGAAACGGCUCUCUCUAAUACAGGGGGCUAAUGACGGUACCGUAAGAAUAAGCACCGGCUAACUACGUGCCAGCAGCCGCGGUAAUACGUAGCGUGCAAGCGUUAAUCGGAAUGUCCGCGGGUGGAUAUUGAGCAGACGGGUGAAAUCCCCGGGCUCAACCUGGGACCUGCAUUUGUGACUGUAUAGCUAGAGUACGGCAGAGGGGGAUGGAAUUCCGCGUGUAGCAGUGAAAUGCGUAGAUAUGCGGAGGAACACCGAUGGCGAAGGCAAUCCCCUGGGCCUGUACUGACGCUCAUGCACGAAAGCGUGGGGAGCAAACAGGAUUAGAUACCCCAGUAGUC
rnacentral:rRNA from 1 species